GUGUGUGUCAAGGUGCAAAACUGUGCCGCAUCCAUGCCGUGCAUGGUGGAUUUGAAUGUUUGUGGUUAUGCACAUAUAUGUGUGUGUGUGUGCCUUACUUUCUCGAGGAUGUGGCUUUGAGCUAACUUCCUGUAGCUUGCUUGUGACGCAGUGAGGGGAGGAGCUUGUGUGUGUGUGUGUGUGUGUGUGUGGGUGGGUGGGUGGUUGAUUGGGAGUGGAGCAAGCUGCAGUCAGCUGGGGAGCGCAGUGAGAAAGAGGCAGCCCAGGCAGUUGACAGCGUGUGUGAGAAAGGGAGCGGGUGAGUGUGUGUGAGUGUGUGUGCGCGCGCCACACAGAGAGAAAGAGGACAGGACAGGAAAGGAUAGGGACUUGUAUGAAUACAAUACUACAACACCGCAUCAGGAACAAAUACCAGAAGCACAGACACACUCACAUACACACAUACAUACACACACCAGCGCACAACGGUUGAGAUCUUCAGCAUUCACCCUCCUCUGGUCUGCUGGUGUGGAUUCAUACUGAAGGCAAAAGGGGCAGAUCUUCUGACAUCGGCUCAACAGACCCUACCAGAAAAGCCUGUGGAGACGGAGAGCGAGUAAAACUGCAGAAGAGAACAUUCUUUGUGCGCAAGGUCUGAAAUCUAGCUCCAUGGCAACCAACAACACAGCCAGCAUUGCCCAGGCCCGUAAGUUGGUGGAGCAGCUGAAGAUGGAGGCCAACAUCGACAGGAUAAAGGUGUCUAAGGCAGCAGCUGACCUGAUGUCGUACUGUGAGGCCCACGCUAAAGAGGACCCGCUCCUUUCGCCCAUGCCCGCCUCAGAGAACCCCUUCAGGGAGAAGAAGUUCUUCUGUGCCAUCCUGUGAGCGGCGGACACACCCUGGGCACGCAGCGGGCGCCCCGCCCACAGAUUCCAGAAAAUGACUCACAACACUUAGAACCCUUCUAGCAAGUGUGUGUGUGUUUAGAUUGCGUGGUGGUGAUGGUUGUGGUAGGUGGGGGAUAUCCUCUUGUACCACCUAAAAUGCUCAUACUGAGGGAAAUAAGAAAUAACACACACAUGCACACACGUGCACAUGAACACACACUCACACAGUGAGGUGAUCAACAACAGUUUGUGUAGCGGUAAGAUGGGGAGGAAGUGAUGCAUGUUUUUUUUUAAGACUUUUAUAAACAAACAAGGGAUAUCGUCCAUCCUGGUCCCUGAGUCAACAUUGACAGCCAUUGUAGAGGAUUUUUAAAAGUGAAGAAACCUUAUUUUUGGAGUGCUCAACACAUGAGUAUGGAUAAGGGUAUCAGGCUCUUCAACAGACAGGACCUCCCUGUGUUAAGCAAAUGUGAUGUAUUACAGUUGUUUUUUUUUUCAUUUAUUUAGUUUGAUAUUUCAGUGUUCAGCUAUGGAUCCUCCCUUAUUAUAAUGUGGUUUGGCUACAUCAUUUAGAUAGCUUUCUAUUGAAUCUUCAAUGUACGUUGCAUUUUUUUUAAGCACUGGUAGAUUAGAAGAAACCUAAAGUAGAUCAAUACAAAAGGAAAUGUUUUUUUUUUCUAUGAAAUGCUUGUAAAUAUUUAUACAACAAGCACCAUCUUUUCAGGUUCCUUUCUAUGAACCAUGUACGACUGUUGAUGCUCCCUGUUUCUACUCUGUAUGAAUGUGCUAGCAAGUAAACUGUGCUGUGAUGUGCUCUGCUGACCUCACUUCCUGUUUCUAUUAAAGAGGGAAACUGAUUUGACGAACACGUUUGACUGGCAGGCCUGUGCUGUUUGACCACAAUGCAUUGCCUUAUGACACGUGGAGACCACAAAUUAUGACGCCAUAGUCACAAUAUGCCAAGACUCCACCUGCAGUGUACCAACUGUAUGAAAUAACUAUAUAAAGAUACCGAGAAUGUGACAAAUGGUGAUGCAGCUGUUUACAAACAACCACACUACAUGAACACAACGCAUCUACCCACCAGACACGUUAGAAGAGACUGAAUUGCAGUGAAGAGGUUGGGGUACAUUGAAGUGCUGGUUAGACUAAGACUUCAUCAGAAGGCCUCCAUUCACAUUGCCUUUGUGUCUGAUUGUGUACCACGGUGCACUAACAAGAUUAGUUUGUUAUGAUAAUGACAUACGAAUCAUCAGGAAGGAAGCAUAUCAUUAUUAAGUCAACUGUCCAUGCACCCUGCAUGACUUAAAGCUUUGCAAAUGAUGGGAUGAGGAAUAAAAUACCCUAACUAAGACA
ensembl:lncRNA